rnacentral:rRNA from 1 species
CCUACGGGUGGCAGCAGUGAGGAAUAUUGGUCAAUGGGCUUACGCCUGAACCAGCCAAGUCGCGUGAGGGAAGACUGCCCUAUGGGUUGUAAACCUCUUUUGUCAGGGAGCAAUUGGCGCUACGUGUAGCGUUAUCUAGAGUACCUGAAGAAAAAGCAUCGGCUAACUCCUUGCCAGCAGCCGCGGUAAUACGGAGGAUGCGAGCGUUAUCCGGAUUUAUUGGGUUUAAAGGGUGCGUAGGCGGAAUGCCAAGUCAGCGGUAAAAUCGCGGGGCUCAACCUCGGUCCGCCGUUGAAACUGGAGGUCUGGAGUGGGCGAGAAGUAUGCGGAAUGCGUGGUGUAGCGGUGAAAUGCAUAGAUAUCACGCAGAACUCCGAUUGCGAAGGCAGCAUACCGGAGCCCAACUGACGCUGAAGCACGAAAGCGUGGGUAUCGAACAGGAUUAGAUACCCUUGUAGUC